GAUGAACGCUGGCGGCGUGCCUAAUACAUGCAAGUCGAGCGAAUAGACGAGGAGCUUGCUCCUUCGACGUUAGCGGCGGACGGGUGAGUAACACGUAGGUAACCUACCUAUAAGACUGGGAUAACUUCGGGAAACCGGAGCUAAUACCGGAUAAUAUUUCGAACCGCAUGGUUCGAUAGUGAAAGAUGGCUUUGCUAUCACUUAUAGAUGGACCUGCGCCGUAUUAGCUAGUUGGUAAGGUAACGGCUUACCAAGGCAACGAUACGUAGCCGACCUGAGAGGGUGAUCGGCCACACUGGAACUGAGACACGGUCCAGACUCCUACGGGAGGCAGCAGUAGGGAAUCUUCCGCAAUGGGCGAAAGCCUGACGGAGCAACGCCGCGUGAGUGAUGAAGGUCUUCGGAUCGUAAAACUCUGUUAUUAGGGAAGAACAAACGUGUAAGUAACUGUGCACGUCUUGACGGUACCUAAUCAGAAAGCCACGGCUAACUACGUG
rnacentral:rRNA from 1 species